ACUAAAAAAGCCAAAAUUAGAGGCAUUGAUUUUGUAAAUCAAAGAAUGGUUUUACCUUUUAGUA
rnacentral:tRNA from 1 species